AUAUCAGCAGAAGUUCAAUAUUAAGUGAUUUAAGAUAGAUUGCUGUUCAACCAAAUCUACUUGUCUGAAUUCUCUGAAAUUUGUGAAAAACUUCAGUUUUAGAAAAAGAAAUAGUUUUGAAUUACCCUAAUUAUGAACCAAAGAGAGGCAAAUAUCCACUCUUUAACAAAAGAAAAUGAGAUGGAUGAAUGGAGGAAAAUGGAAAUUUAAAUAA
rnacentral:misc_RNA from 1 species